rnacentral:rRNA from 1 species
GAUGAACGCUGGCGGCGUGCUUAACACAUGCAAGUCGAACGGUACGGCCCCUGCCUGCAGGUGUACUCGAGUGGCGAACGGGUGAGUAACACGUGGGUGAACUGCCCUGUACUUUGGGAUAAGCUUGGGGAACUGGGUCUAAUACCGGAUAUGACAAUCUCUUGGAUGGGGUUGUGGAAAGCUUUUGCGGUAUGGGAUGAGCUCGCGGCCUAUCAGCGUGUUGGUGGGGUAAUGGCAUACCAAGGCGUCGGCGGGUAGCCGGCCUGAGAGGGUGUACGGCCACAUUGGGACUAAGAUACGGCCCAGACUCCUACGUGAGGCAGCGGUGGGAAAUAUUGCACAAUAGGCGCAAGCCUGAUGCAACGGCGUCGGGUUGGGGAUAACGGCCUUCGGGUUAUAAACACCUUUCUCAACCAACGAAGCUUUUGUGACGGUAGCUAGAGAGAAAGCACCGGCUAACUACGUG